ensembl:lncRNA
UCUGAUUAUCAAGAAGCUUUAUUGUCUUCAUCAGAUUGAACAUCAUCAUCUUCCUCUUCAUCAUCGUCACCAUCAUCAUCCUCCUCAUUAUAGUCAUCAUUCUCAAUAUCCUCAUCAUCUUCAUCAUCACCAUCAUCCUCCUUACCACCACCACUACCAUCAUCACCAUCUUCAUCAUCAACACCUGUGUGCUGGACGUCAGGAGGCUGUUAACAUGCAGCUGAGCCGGGCAGACAGACAGGAAGACAGACGGAUAACGGAGGAAACAGACAGACAGACAGAGGUAGGUCAGACAGAACGGACGCCAAAGGGGGGCAGAGAGGUAGACAGCUGGGCAGGUAGUCAAGUAGGGGAACAGACAGGUGGUCGUCAGGCAGAGACAGGCAGGUAGAUAUGAGGACUGUCUCAGGUAGUCACAGACAGACAGGUGGUCGUCAGGCAGAGACAGGCAGGUAGAUAUGAGGACUGUCUCAGGUAGUGGCAGACAGACAGGUGGUCGUCAGGCAGAGACAGGCAGGUAGAUAUGAGGACUGUCUCAGGUAGUGGCAGACAGACAGGUGGUCGUCAGGCAGAGACAGGCAGGUAGAUAUGAGGACUGUCUCAGGUAGUGGCAGACAGACAGGUGGUCGUCAGGCAGAGACAGGCAGGUAGAUAUGAGGACUGUCUCAGGUAGUCACAGACAGACAGGUGGUCGUCAGGCAGAGACAGGCAGGUAGAUAUGAGGACUGUCUCAGGUAGUGGCAGACAGACAGGUGGUCGUCAGGCAGAGACAGGCAGGUAGAUAUGAGGACUCUCUCAGGUAGUCGCAGACAGACAGGUGGUCGUCAGGCAGAGACAGGCAGGUAGAUAUGAGGACUGUCUCAGGUAGUCGCAGACAGACAGGUGGUCGUGAGGCAGAGACAGGCAGGUAGAUAUGAGGACUGUCUCAGGUAGUCGCAGACAGACAGGUGGUCGUCAGGCAGAGACAGGCAGGUAGAUAUGAGGACUGUCUCAGGUAGUGGCAGACAGACAGGUGGUCGUCAGGCAGAGACAGGCAGGUAGAUAUGAGGACUGUCUCAGGUAGUCGCAGACAGACAGGUGGUCGUCAGGCAGAGACAGGCAGGUAGAUAUGAGGACUGUCUCAGGUAGUCGCAGACAGACAGGUGGUCGUCAGGCAGAGACAGGCAGGUAGAUAUGAGGACUGUCUCAGGUAGUAGCAGACAGACAGGUGGUCGUCAGGCAGAGACAGGCAGGUAGAUAUGAG